rnacentral:ncRNA from 1 species
CCUUUGGAGUGUUACACCAAACUAGAGUAGUCUUAGGACAAAAUAGAACACUAUGAGGAAGGAA